AUGGUGUCCUGCAAGGCUGUGGUCAUCUUGCUAGAGGUGUAUGCAGCUGCCAUGCUGACCUCCCAGAUUGAAGCUUUCCUUACCAUCUUCGUGCACGGUGAACUCCAGAGACUGCAGUUGACUGCUCCAGCACGAAUGGGAGUGUGAACAACCGCCAGGCAGCCGGAAAAGUACCAGCCCCCGCCCCCAAAGGGCUGCCGAGGGAG
rnacentral:lncRNA from 14 species